UCCAUCACUAGGAGUCUAUGAAGAGUUGAAAGAGACUCUCCCGGAAUAACCUUGCAGUCCUCGCACAAACCCAUAUCGCUCCUUCUGAUGAGGAUGUAAUCAAUCUGAGUCCUCGCCGCCGAACUCUUGAAGGUGACCAAAUGCUCCUCCCUUUUCCGCAAUGUCGAGUUCGCAAUCAGUAGCUCGGAAGCGCUGGCGAAAUCAAGCAGCGAAGUGCCUCCUCCGUUCCUGGCCCCAAAGCCAAAGCCACCGUGCACCUCAUCAUAG
rnacentral:lncRNA from 1 species